GAAAUGCGAUAAGUAAUGUGAAUUGCAGAAUUCAGUGAAUCAUCGAAUCUUUGAACGCACAUUGCGCCCGCCAGUAUUCUGGCGGGCAUGCCUGUCCGAGCGUCAUUUCAACCAUCAAGCCCCCGGGCUUGUGUUGGGGACCUGCGGCUGCCCGCAGGCCCUGAAAACCAGUGGCGGGCUCGCUGUCACACCGAGCGUAGUAGCAAUCACCUCGCUCAGGGCGUGCUGCGGGUUCCGGCCGUUAAACAGCCUUACAAAACCCAAGGUUGACCUCGGAUCAGGUAGGAAGACCCGCUGAACUUAAGCAUAUCAAUAAGCGGAGGAC
rnacentral:misc_RNA from 1 species